CUUGACCGAGCCCAGCCACAGCGGCGUUUCGGGCGACCUGUUCUGUCCGUAGACGGCGAGGAACGCCUCCGCCUC
rnacentral:antisense_RNA from 1 species